rnacentral:lncRNA from 1 species
GCAUACAAUCUCCAUUACACUAGUUCACAUGUCACUAGUUUCAUUAUCAAGUCCAAGUUCUUUAUUCUCUUAUCAUCAUAGGAUCUCAUGUCUCAACCUUAAUCAUCAUGCAUUCUAGAUUUAAGUGUCAAGUCUAUAAUACUACACAACUAGACAUGCAUGCAAGAAAAUAGAAAUGUAACUAUACAUAUAUCCUAUAAUGCAUAAGAACCAUAUAUAUGAAAUAUGAUCAACUAUUUUACUCGGACAUAGAAGGAAGCCCGAUUGCUUCGGAUAGACACCCCCCACCUUUUUACAGCGUUCCGAUUGCUCGUCGUCACUCGCAAUCGGCCUCCCGCGGCGCACGCCGCUCGGCUCGACCCUAUUCACGCGCGACCACCGAACGACCUCCGCUUCGCGAUCCGAGAAUUAUAGGUCUUCGGUUUCUUGUCACGAUGCUUCAAAUCCGUUUCCACGAUUUUACGACGUCGCCUCGGCCCUCCAGGCGGAAACGAAGCCUAAACGUCCGUUUCUUUAAUAACUUCGCACUGGCUUGACGAAUCGCCGAACCGUCGCUUUCGACGCGUUCAGUGACCUAUCAAUUAGGUUUCCAGAGGGUUAAAUGAGAUCAAACCCUCAUAUUUUCAAAAAUUGCAUUUCGAGCCCUAGGUUUAUAACUAGGCAAGAAUUAACUAAAUUGAUCCUAGAUUCUAGCAAUAAUCAUCUAUUUAGCAUGCUAGAAUUCCAUUAAAACCAUUUUUAGAGCAUAAGGAUCAAUCCUUAGAGUUCUACCAUUAAAGGGUUUUGAAGCUUACCUCUCAAGCAAGCUCCAAUGGAGAGGAAGAAGAUGAAGUUGAUGAAGAUCAACUUCCAAGCUUGCUUCUCCACCAAAUCCAUCUAUUUUUGGGAGAGAUCUAGAGAGAGAAAGGGAAGUGUUCUCUCUCCCUUUCCAUGUAUGCGUGUG